AGAGUUUGAUCCUGGCUCAGAAUGAACGCUGGCGGCAUGCCUUACACAUGCAAGUCGAACGGCAGCAUGACCUAGCUUGCUAGGUUGAUGGCGAGUGGCGAACGGGUGAGUAAUGCAUCGGAACGUGCCUUUUAGUGGGGGAUAACGUAGCGAAAGUUACGCUAAUACCGCAUAUUCUCUGAGGAGGAAAGCAGGGGACCUUCGGGCCUUGCGCUAGAAGAGCGGCCGAUGUCGGAUUAGCUAGUUGGUGAGGUAAAGGCUCACCAAGGCAACGAUCCGUAGCGGGUCUGAGAGGAUGAUCCGCCACACUGGGACUGAGACACGGCCCAGACUCCUACGGGAGGCAGCAGUGGGGAAUUUUGGACAAUGGGCGCAAGCCUGAUCCAGCCAUGCCGCGUGAGUGAAGAAGGCCUUCGGGUUGUAAAGCUCUUUCGGCUGGGAAGAAAUCGCACUCUCUAAUACAGGGUGUGGAUGACGGUACCAGCAUAAGAAGCACCGGCUAACUACGUGCCAGCAGCCGCGGUAAUACGUAGGGUGCGAGCGUUAUUCGGAAUUACUGGGCGUAAAGCGUGCGCAGGCGGUUGUGUAAGACAGACGUGAAAUCCCCGGGCUCAACCUGGGAACUGCGUUUGUGACUGCACGGCUAGAGUACGGCAGAGGGGGGUGGAAUUCCACGUGUAGCAGUGAAAUGCGUAGAGAUGUGGAGGAACACCGAUGGCGAAGGCAGCCCCCUGGGCCAGUACUGACGCUCAUGCACGAAAGCGUGGGGAGCAAACAGGAUUAGAUACCCUGGUAGUCCACGCCCUAAACGAUGUCAACUAGCUGUUGGUGGGGUUAAACCCAUUAGUAGCGUAGCUAACGCGUGAAGUUGACCGCCUGGGGAGUACGGCCGCAAGGUUAAAACUCAAAGGAAUGACGGGACCCCACAGCGGGGAUGAUGGGUUUAAUUCGAUGCAACGCGAAGAACCUUACUACCUCUGACACCAGGAGACUUAGCAAAGAAAUGCUUUGGGGCUUUCGGGAACUCUUAAAAACAAGUGCUGCAUGG
rnacentral:rRNA from 1 species